rnacentral:rRNA from 1 species
UGGGGAAUAUUGGACAAUGGGCGCAAGCCUGAUCCAGCCAUGCCGCGUGAGUGAUGAAGGCCCUAGGGUUGUAAAGCUCUUUCACCGGUGAAGAUAAUGACGGUAACCGGAGAAGAAGCCCCGGCUAACUUCGUGCCAGCAGCCGCGGUAAUACGAAGGGGGCUAGCGUUGUUCGGAUUUACUGGGCGUAAAGCGCACGUAGGCGGACUUUUAAGUCAGGGGUGAAAUCCCGGGGCUCAACCCCGGAACUGCCUUUGAUACUGGAAGUCUUGAGUAUGGUAGAGGUGAGUGGAAUUCCGGGUGUAGAGGUGAAAUUCGUAGAGAUUCGGAGGAACACCAGUGGCGAAGGCGGCUCACUGGACCAUUACUGACGCUGAGGUGCGAAAGCGUGGGGAGCAAACAGG